AGUGAACGCUGGCGGUAGGCCUAACACAUGCAAGUCGAACGGCAGCACAGUAAGAGCUUGCUCUUACGGGUGGCGAGUGGCGGACGGGUGAGGAAUACAUCGGAAUCUACUUUUUCGUGGGGGAUAACGGAGGGAAACUUACGCUAAUACCGCAUACGUCCUACGGGUGAAAGCAGUGGAUCUUCGGACCUUGCGCGAUUGAAUGAGCCGAUGUCGGAUUAGCUAGUUGGCGGGGUAAAGGCCCACCAAGGCGACGAUCCGUAGCUGGUCUGAGAGGAUGAUCAGCCACACUGGAACUGAGACACGGUCCAGACUCCUACGGGAGGCAGCAGUGGGGAAUAUUGGACAAUGGGCGCAAGCCUGAUCCAGCCAUACCGCGUGGGUGAAGAAGGCCUUCGGGUUGUAAAGCCCUUUUGUUGGGAAAGAAAAGCAGCAGGUUAAUACCCCGCUGUUCUGACGGUACCCAAAGAAUAAGCACCGGCUAACUUCGUG
rnacentral:rRNA from 1 species